rnacentral:rRNA from 1 species
CUACGGGUCGCUCCAGUGAGGAAUAUUGCACAAUGGGGGAAACCCUGAUGCAGCAACGCCGCGUGGAGGAUGACGCAUUUCGGUGUGUAAACUCCUUUUAUGAGUCAAGAAAAUGACGGUAGCUCAUGAAUAAGCACCGGCUAACUCCGUGCCAGCAGCCGCGGUAAUACGGAGGGUGCAAGCGUUACUCGGAAUCACUGGGCGUAAAGGUCGCGUAGGCGGGCUUGUAAGUCAGGUGUGAAAUCCUACAGCUUAACUGUAGAACUGCACUUGAAACUACGAGCCUAGAGUAUGGGAGGGGCAGAUGGAAUUAGUGGUGUAGGGGUAAAAUCCGUAGAUAUCACUAGGAAUACCGAAAGCGAAGGCGAUCUGCUGGAACAUUACUGACGCUAAGGCGUGAAAGCGUGGGGAGCAAACGGGAUUAGAUACCCUGGUAGUC